CAAAUGACUCUCGGCAAUGGAUAUCUCGGCUCUUGCAUCGAUGAAGAACGUAGUGAAAUGCGAUACUUGGUGUGAAUUGCAGAAUCUCGUGAACCAUUGAGUCUUUGAACGCAAGUUGUGCCCGAGGCUUUGUGGCCGAGGGCACGCCUGCUUGGGCGUCAUGG
rnacentral:rRNA from 5 species